rnacentral:sRNA from 1 species
AGUGUAAAAUCCUAUUUUAUCUUAUAUAAUAUGACAAGGUUUUUCUAACUUUGCCUCAUAAUACGACUUUUGGCAUUAUACUUUCGUGACACAUUUCUUACUCAUUAAAUUUUAGUUUGACAUUCUAAGAUUUUU